rnacentral:rRNA from 1 species
ACCGUGCAAAGGUAGCAUAAUCAUUAGUUUUUUAAUUGAAAGCUGGUAUGAACGGUUGGACGAGAGAGUAGCUGUCUCAAUUUAAUUUAAGAUAGAAUUUUAUUUAUAAGUAAAAAAGCUUAUAUGGGUUUAAAAGACGAGAAGACCCUAUAGAAUUUUAUAAUAAUAAUUAUAUGGGUUAUUUAGAAUAUUAAAUUUUAUAUAAUUAGAGUUAUUUUGUUGGGGCGAUAGAAAAAUUUAUAAAACUUUUUUUAUAUUAGUUCAUUAAUUUAUGUGUAAAUGAUCCGUUAUUUACGAUUAUAAGAUUAAAUUACCUUAGGGAUAACAGCGUAAUUUUUUUUUAGAGUUCUUAUCGAAAAAAGAGUUU